AAAAGUCUUGAAAUUGUAAUAACUUUUACUUGGACUAAGAUCAACAAGACUUAUUCCAAGAAUUAGAAGAAAGAAAAAUGAGAAACAAUUGAUAUAAGAAUUAUCUUUAAGAAAUUAGGCUUAAAGCUUAUGUUUAUAAAGGGUUCUGAUAUCCCUUUUGAAGGCAGUUUUUAGGGGAAAAAUGGUCAGAGGCCAGCAGGAAGAAGCUCCCGUCUCCGUCUUUCCUGUCCCUCGUCUUGCAGAUGGUGCUUUCUUGCGUUAUUUUUAGGGCUUCCUAUUCGUUUAGGCACAACAUCAACAUGCUUUGCGAUGGACGCUUCACUUUGCUAUUGGGUUAGGCAAAUGUUGGUUGCCUGUCAUAAUCUAAUUUUUC
rnacentral:lncRNA from 1 species